CUGGCGGCGUGCCUAACACAUGCAAGUCGAGCGAGGAGAUCCUCGGGAUGAUCCUAGCGGCGGACGGGUGAGUAACACGUGGGCAACCUGCCUCAUAGAGAGGAAUAGCCUUCCGAAAGGGAGAUUAAUACCUCAUAACAUGCAGUUUCGCAUGGAACAGCAAUUAAAGGAGCAAUCCACUAUGAGAUGGGCCCGCGGCGCAUUAGCUAGUUGGUGAGGUAACGGCUCACCAAGGCGACGAUGCGUAGCCGACCUGAGAGGGUGAUCGGCCACAUUGGGACUGAGACACGGCCCAGACUCCUACGGGAGGCAGCAGUGGGGAAUAUUGCACAAUGGGGGAAACCCUGAUGCAAGCAACGCCGCGUGAGUGAUGACGGCCUUCGGGUUGUAAAGCUCUGUCUUCAGGGACGAUAAUGACGGUACCUGAGGAGGAAGCCACGGCUAACUACGUGCCAGCCGCAGC
rnacentral:rRNA from 1 species